GGCUAGCCGUAAACUUUUAUUUACACCCAAUCGCCAGGGAACUACGAGCUAAGCUUAAACCCAAAGGACUUGACGGUACCCCAUAUCCCCCUAGAGGAGCCUGUCCUGUAAUCGAUAAUCCACGUUAAACCUCACCAUUUUUAGUUAAUCAGCCUGUAUACCUCCGUCGUCAGCUUACCACGUGAGCGCCAAUUAGUGAGCUUAAUGUUUUUCACCAAUACGUCAGGUCAAGGUGCAGCAAAUAAAGUGGGAAGAGAUGGGCUACACUCUCUAUUUUAGAAAAACGAAAAACUACCUAUGAAACCUAGUUAGAAGGCGGAUUUAGCAGUAAAAAGGAAUCAGCAUGUCCAUUUUAAUCCGGCACUGGGGUGUGUACACACCGCCCGUCA
rnacentral:rRNA from 1 species